GAUGAACGCUGGCGGCGUGCCUAACACAUGCAAGACGAGCGAGAAUAAAGUAAAUGAAGCUUCGGUAGAUUUUACUUUAGGACAGCGGCGGACGGGUGAGUAACGCGUAGGCAACCUGCCCCAUACAGAGGGAUAGCAUUUGGAAACGAAUAUUAAUACCUCAUAAUGCGUAGUAGCUGCAUAGUUAUUACGCCAAAGAUUUAUCGGUAUGGGAUGGGCCUGCGUCUGAUUAGUUAGUUGGUGAGGUAACGGCUCACCAAGGCGACGAUCAGUAGCCGACCUGAGAGGGUGAUCGGCCACAUUGGAACUGAGACACGGUCCAAACUCCUACGGGAGGCAGCAGUGGGGAAUAUUGCACAAUGGGCGCAAGCCUGAUGCAGCAACGCCGCGUGAGCGAUGAAGGCCUUCGGGUCGUAAGGCUCUGUCCUUGGGGAAGAAAAAAAUGACGGUACCCUUGGAGGAAGCCCCGGCUAACUACGUGCCAGCAGCCGCGGUAAUACGUAGGGGGCGAGCGUUAUCCGGAAUUAUUGGGCGUAAAGAGUAUGUAGGUGGUCUUUUAAGCCCAGGGUUUAAGGCAAUGGCUCAACCAUUGUUCGCCCUGGGAACUGAGAGACUUGAGUGCAGGAGAGGAAAGCGGAAUUCCUAGUGUAGCGGUGAAAUGCGUAGAUAUUAGGAGGAACACCAGUGGCGAAGGCGGCUUUCUGGACUGUAACUGACACUGAGAUACGAAAGCGUGGGGAGCAAACAGGAUUAGAUACCCUGGUAGUCCACGCCGUAAACGAUGAGCACUAGGUGUCGGGGUCGCAAGACUUCGGUGCCGCAGUUAACGCAUUAAGUGCUCCGCCUGGGGAGUACGCACGCAAGUGUGAAACUCAAAGGAAUUGACGGGGAUCCGCACAAGCAGCGGAGCAUGUGGUUUAAUUCGAAGCAACGCGAAGAACCUUACCAAGGCUUGACAUCCUUCUGACAGUCCUUAAUCGGGGUCUCCUUCGGGCAGAAGUGGCAGGUGGUGCAUGGUUGUCGUCAGCUCGUGUCGUGAGAUGUUGGGUUAAGUCCCGCAACGAGCGCAACCCUUGUCUUUAGUUGCCAUCGUUAAGUUGGGCACUCUAGAGAGACUGCCGGUGAUAAACCGGAGGAAGGUGGGGAUGACGUCAAAUCAUCAUGCCCCUUAUGCCUUGGGCUACACACGUGCUACAAUGGCUGGUACAAAGAGAAGCAAGACCGUGAGGUGGAGCAAAUCUCAAAAACCAGCCCCAGUUCGGAUUGUAGGCUGCAACUCGCCUACAUGAAGUUGGAGUUGCUAGUAAUCGCGGAUCAGAAUGCCGCGGUGAAUGCGUUCCCGGGUCUUGUACACACCGCCCGUCACACCAUGGAAGUUGGGGGCGCCCAAAGUUGGUCGAUUAAUAGACUACCUAAGGUGAAACCAAUGACUAGGGUG
rnacentral:rRNA from 1 species